rnacentral:rRNA from 1 species
UGGUUGGAGUAUUCAACUGACACACAUAGGGCAUACUGCUUGCCUUGUUUCCUCUUUUCCAAAAAGCCAAUUGGAAGGUGUGGCUCAGAUAUAUUCACAGUCAAGGGAUUUCAAAACUGGAAAAAGGUCAAUAAUGGGAAAGAAUGUGCUUUUCUAACUCGCAUGGGUCGUGAUCCCAACUUAGCUCAUAACUUUGUUGUUAGAUGUUUUUAAAAUCGUAAGAAUAGCAUGUCUCAUAUAGACAAGGUAAUGGUGAAGCAAUGUGAGAAAAGAGUGGCAGAUGCGAGACUAAGACUCAAGACUACAAUUGAUGCCAUCAGGUGGUUAACAUUUUAAGCGUGUCCCUCUAGAGGACAUGAUGAAUCUCCAGGAUCUGAAAACCGAGGUAAUUUUAUUGAGAUUCUCAAGAUGCUGGUGUCAUAUAAUAAAGAGGUCGAUGAAGUGGUGUUAGAAAAUGCUCCAAGAAAUGCAAAUUACACUUCAGGAGAAGUCCAGAAAGAAAUUGUAAGCAUAAUUGCCCGUAAAGUGCAGAAAUCAAUUAAAGAAGAAAUUGGCAAUUGCAAGUUUUAUAUAAUGGUUGAUGAAGCUAGGGAUGAAUCCAAAAAAGAGCAGAUGGCGGUCGUUAUUAGAUUUGCCAAUGAAGAAUCAAUUAUUACAGAGCGCUUUCUUGAUGUAGUGCAUGUUACAGAUACUGCUGCAACAACUCUCAAAGACAAGAUACUUGCUGUUCUAGCUUUCAAUAACCUAAAUGUGCAAGAUAUCAGGGGCCAAGCAUAUGAUGGGGAUAGCAACAUGAGGGGGUGGAAUGGAUUGAAGGAUCUUAUUCUUUGGGAGUGUCCGUAUGCAUACUACAUUCAUUGUAUGGCUCAUCAGCUGCAGUUAGCUCUUGUUGCAGCAUCCAGAGAGGUGCAUGUACACAACUUCUUUCAGCAUGCAAACUUCAUAGUCAAUGUUGUUAGUGCUUCUUCCAAAUGCAAUGAUGAAUUGCUAGCAAACCAGGUAGCUCAAAUUGAACUUUUAAGAAGUAUAGCAAGUGAUCGUUCGGUCUCACAAUUUUCUCGAGGAGAUGUUGUUGGUGCUCUUAGGAUUCUCAUCUCAUUUGAUUUUGUGUUUAUUCCGCACCUAAUGGAAAAAAUCAUGAAGAUCACUGAUGUGUUGUGUGUAAGACUGCAAACUAAAUCUUUGGAUAUUUUGAAUGCUUUGGAUUGUGUGUCCAUCACAAAGGUGCUGCUUGCUGACUUAAGAGAAAAUGGUUGGGAAUCUCUUCUUGAAGAGGUUAAUUCUUUUUGCCUGAAGCACGGGAUUGAUAUUCCGGAUUUUAAUCGCAACACCACAACACUCCAUCACUACAAAAUGGAUGUAUUUAAUGUUGCCAUAGACCAACAAUUGACAGAGUUAGGUGAUCGUUUCAGUCUUCAAGCGAUAUAGCUUUUAAGCCUUUGUGCAUGUAAAUCAUCUAUGUAUCCAAUGGUCAAUAGGUUAUUAUGAUUAGUAAUAACUCUCCCGGUGUCGACUGCAACAGCAGAGAGAGCAUUUUCAGCUACGAAACUUGUCAAGACUCGUCUUCGAAGUACAAUGGGUGAUGAUUUUCUUCGACAUUGUAUGAUAAUCUACAUCGAGAAGGAUAUAGCGUCAAAGUUUAGUUUUGAUGAAAUUAUAGACAUAUUUGAUCUUCUUGGUUGUCGCAAAGCCAAUUUCAAACUAAUAGAGAUGUAA